CAGCAGUCUGAUGGCUUGGGGGUAGAAGCUGUUCAGCAGUCUGAUGGCUUGGGGGUAGAAGCUGUUCAGCAGUCUGAUGGCUUGGGGGUAGAAGCUGUUCAGCAGUCUGAUGGCUUGGAGGUAGAAGCUGUUCAGCAGUCUGAUGGCUUGGGGGUAGAAGCUGUUCAGCAGUCUGAUGGCUUGGGGGUAGAAGCUGUUCAGCAGUCUGAUGGCUUGGGGGUAGAAGCUGUUCAGCAGUCUGAUGGCUUGGGGGUAGAAGCUGUUCAGCAGUCUGAUGGCUUGGGGGUAGAAGCUGUUCAGCAGUCUGAUGGCUUGGAGGUAGAAGCUGUUCAGCAGUCUGAUGGCUUGGGGGUAGAAGCUGUUCAGCAGUCUGAUGGCUUGGGGGUAGAAGCUGUUCAGCAGUCUUAUGGCUUGGGGGUAGAAGCUGUUCAGCAGUCUGAUGGCUUGGGGUUAGAAGCUGUUCAGCAGUCUGAUGGCUUGGGGUUAGAAGCUGUUCAGCAGUCUGAUGGCUUGGGGUUAGAAGCUGUUCAGCAGUCUGAUGGCUUGGGGUUAGAAGCUGUUCAGCAGUCUUAUGGCUUGGGGGUAGAAGCUGUUCAGCAGUCUUAUGGCUUGGGGUUAGAAGCUGUUCAGCAGUCUUAUGGCUUGGGGGUAGAAGCUGUUCAGCAGUCUUAUGG